rnacentral:rRNA from 1 species
UUGAUCCUGCCGGACCCGACUGCUAUCAGAGUGAGACUAAGCCAUGCGAGUCAACGUAUGAAUAAUACGUGGCGAACGGCUCAGUAACACGUAGUCAACAUGCCCAAAGGACGUGGAUAACCUCGGGAAACUGAGGAUAAACCGCGAUAGGUCAUAAGUACUGGAAUGUUUUAUGGCUCAAAUCUACAUGGCCUCUGGAUUGGACUGCGGCCGAUCAGGCUGUUGGUGAGGUAAUGGCCCACCAAACCUGUUACCGGUACGGGCUCUGAGAGGAGGAGCCCGGAGAUGGGCACUGAGACAAGGGCCCAGGCCCUAUGGGGCGCAGCAGGCGCGAAACCUCUGCAAUAGGCGAAAGCUUGACAGGGUUACUCUGAGUGAUUCCCGCUAAGGGAAUCUUUUGGCAUCUCUAAAAACGAUGCAGAAUAAGGGGUGGGCAAGUCUGGUGUCAGCCGCCGCGGUAAUACCAGCACCCCGAGUGGUCGGGACGAUUAUUGGGCCUAAAGCAUCCGUAGCCGGUCUUGCAAGUCUUCCGUUAAAUCCACCUGCUUAACAGAUGGGCUGCGGAAGAUACUACAAGACUAGGAGGCGGGAGAGGCAAGCGGUACUCAGUGGGUAGGGGUAAAAUCCUCUGAUCCAUUGAAGACCACCAGUGGCGAAGGCGGCUUGCCAGAACGCGCUCGACGGUGAGGGAUGAAAGCUGGGGGGAGCAAACCGGAUUAGAUACC